GGGGGGGGGGGGGGGGACACACAUUUUACCACUUUGGAAGUACUUAUCCAUAGAUACCCCACACGUAUGGGUUUGAUGAAGAAAAAAAUUUUGAGUUUCAGUUCUAAGUAUGGGGAACCCCCAAAAUUUAUUGUUUUUUUUUUUCUAUUUUUGUGU